CGCCACCGAUUGGGCUCGAACCACCAACCUUUCGGUUAACAGCCGAACACGCUAGCCGAUUGCGCCACGGGAC